rnacentral:rRNA from 1 species
UGAGGAAUAUUGGACAAUGGGCGCAAGCCUGAUCCAGCCAUGCCGCGUGCAGGAUGACGGUCCUAUGGAUUGUAAACUGCUUUUGUACAGGAAGAAACAGUUCUACGUGUAGAACCUUGACGGUACUGUAAGAAUAAGGAUCGGCUAACUCCGUGCCAGCAGCCGCGGUAAUACGGAGGAUCCAAGCGUUAUCCGGAAUCAUUGGGUUUAAAGGGUCCGUAGGCGGUUUAGUAAGUCAGUGGUGAAAGCCCAUCGCUCAACGGUGGAACGGCCAUUGAUACUGCUAAACUUGAAUUAUUAGGAAGUAACUAGAAUAUGUAGUGUAGCGGUGAAAUGCUUAGAGAUUACAUGGAAUACCAAUUGCGAAGGCAGGUUACUACUAAUGGAUUGACGCUGAUGGACGAAAGCGUGGGUAGCGAACA